rnacentral:tRNA from 1 species
AGUGAUGUAGCUUAGUGGUAGAGCACUUGCCUAGCAUGCAUGAGGCAUUUGGUUCCAUUCCUA